CCUGGACAGAAAGUGUAAGAAUGGCGUGGUGCUUGAUGUACGAGAGAUAAGGCAGACGGCAUGAAGCGGUUGUGUGAAUAUGGACACUGUUUGUGCGCUCUCUCUAGCAGGGAAUAUUAAUUGGGACAAAUGGACUGGAUUUAGUCGGCUUCCAAUCGACGGGGGACGCUCGGAAUAGGGUGGAAGUAGAAUGCGAAUGCGUGUAUUUUUUGGGACUCUUUUUGUGUGUGUUUGUGUAUCUGGGACGCCGGUGCCCACGGACUGAACUUCCAGUGACGGGAGGGUCUCAAUUGCUGCCAGACGGAGGGAAGUUAGGCCAUUGUUUUAACGUGUUUUCAUGAACUCCGAAUUCGGAGAGGGAUAGCCUCUAAGAUUUAGUGUUAGAAAUCGUGGGUGGGUUUUUUGGGAAAUGUUUUUAAAUGUGCUGACUAGCUGAUUUACCCUGAUUAAUUAUUGUUUGCAGUGAUAUACCACGACUAGUUUGCAGUGUCUAUUAAAGUAGUUUAGCAAAUGUGUGCUUAUUUAUAAUUCCCCUUUUGGGCUUUUGGUUGUGUGCAAUACUGUGUGUGGUUAAGGCUUAGUGCAAUAAUUCUGAUAACGCACCCGAAUUCCUGCCGAUUGGCAAUCUAUUAUUCUAUGAUGAAUAAUAAACAGGUUAUAUUUGUACUACAACUUCUCUGACUGCUGGUCUUGUGUGGAACUUGGGACAACAGCUGGACCAUACCGGUUUAAAAAAAGGUGGUGGCAGCAAAAUAUUAGUGACCUCUCUGUUACAUUACAAUAUGUUGAAAAUUAUGUUGGUAGGGACAUCUGAUUUAACCUGAUGAAUGCCAACAUCUCUGGCCUUUUCAUGGGCCGCGUGUGUUGGCGAAGUUGGCAUGUAUAACUAGCUUUUGUUGGAUGACGACCUGACGUGUUGGUAUAAUUUAUCCACAGAAUCAAGACGUUGGUUUGGUCUGAUGGACUUCUCUGCUGCAUCAGCCAACAGUUGGACAUGGGUCAUCCACAUAAAGGUGCAAAAUUUGCAUAAGCUGUCACACUGGUAAGCAAUCUCUCUUUGAAUGUGUGUGCAUUUGACUUGCUGUGAUAUGAUGAUUUUUUUUGUUUAAAAACAUUGGGAAUCUCUCUGAAUAAGAGUGAAGGAGAACUUUUUUCUGAUGCGGCAUCAAAAUGUCUGGCUUGUAUGUCCUUGAAUGUUCCACUCUAAAAAUCGUCUACAUCUGUCCUCACAGGUUGCAGCGCUGAUACACAAGGGGUACUUGCAGGAUUGACGGCAUGCUCAACUGGUUCAAGGACAUCACCAUGAGUUUCUGAGUAAUGCAGCCUGUGGUGGAUGCCUCUGGAUCACCAUUUACGGACCUUGUGAAGGAGCUCUUGGAAUGAAGCCCCCCUGAGCCUUUUGGUGGUUGAUGCCUCAGCAGCCAUGUCUUCAGUUCCUGCACCAUUCGCCCUCUAGGGAGAGUAGACGGGAGUUGACCAGGGGCUGUGAAUGAGGAAGGUGUCUGCUCUGAGUCCUGGUGUGCGGUGUCUCCACCUUGCUGUUUUCCUCAUGUUGCAGGGUCCUGGAGGCUUUGGAAGACUGAGCCCUGGGUAAGCACAUUUACUGUUUUUGUAUUCUGUAUGCCAAUCUGUGAUGUAAAGAUUCUGCCAAAUGAUCCAGCUGAUUAUACCCCUUCCGUUCCAUUAUCUUCUGAGGUUGGCUAUGCUUCUGUGUGGUCUGUCUGACCUGAAUUUUUAAAUGUUGCAUUCAAACUGAGUUGCCCUCGACGCUUGCCUUGGUGAAUGUCUAACCCGAUCAUGGUUCUCUUCUGUUACCGAGUCCCGGAGGCUUUUGAAGACUGAGCCCAGGGUGCUGUGGACAUUGUUGCUGUUGAAAAUGAGCAUCAGCAUUGGCCUGAACGUUUGACAUUCUGGUGUGAAACGCCCAGACUCUUUAUUAAAUAAAAACAUUUUAACUUACCCUUAUCUUGUGUUUUCAUUCAAUUUAGGUGUGAUCACAGCAUAUGAAAUUACU